CGGCGUGCUUAACACAUGCAAGUCGAACGAACCUUCGGGUUAGUGGCGGACGGGUGAGUAACGCGUGAGAAUCUGCCCUCAGGAGGGGGAUAACAGCUGGAAACGGCUGCUAAUACCCCAUAUGCCGCGAGGUGAAAUGAAUUUCGCCUGAGGAUGAGCUCGCGUCUGAUUAGCUAGUUGGUGUAGGUAAUGGCUCACCAAGGCAUCGAUCAGUAGCUGGUCUGAGAGGAUGAUCAGCCACACUGGGACUGAGACACGGCCCAGACUCCUACGGGAGGCAGCAGUGGGGAAUUUUCCGCAAUGGGCGAAAGCCUGACGGAGCAACGCCGCGUGAGGGAUGAAGGCCUCUGGGCUGUAAACCUCUUUUAUCAAGGAAGAAGAUCUGACGGUACUUGAUGAAUAAGCCACGGC
rnacentral:rRNA from 1 species